AGGAGAGAGGGACAGAGAGCCUGCUUGCUUUAAAGGAACCAACCGGACAGGAGCCGCUUACACUCGUGUAAGCGGCUCCUCUCCUCUCCCACUUUGCUCCUUUAAAGCAAGCAGGCUCUCUGUGUCUCUCUCCC